AUACGGAGGGUGCAAGCGUUAAUCGGAAUUACUGGGCGUAAAGCGUACGUAGGCGGUCCGUUAAGUUAGAUGUGAAAGCCCCGGGCUUAACCUGGGAACUGCAUUUAAAACUGGCGAACUAGAGUGGAGUAGAGGGGAGUGGAAUUUCAGGUGUAGCGGUGAAAUGCGUAGAGAUCUGAAGGAACACCAGUGGCGAAGGCGACUCCCUGGACUCGAACUGACGCUGAGGUACGAAAGCGUGGGUAGCAAACGGGAUUAGAAACCCGAGUAGUCC
rnacentral:rRNA from 1 species